CUUAACGUCGUCACGGGCCAUGGAACAAGGCUGCGUAGCCACCGGCCGUGGUGAGGACCGCCAUGGCCCACACGGCGGCGGCGACAGGCCAGGACGGCAUCGCCGCCGCCACCUUCCACGAGAACAGCACGGUGAGCAGCGUGCACAGCGCCCACACCUCGCGCCUCAGCCGCGCCCUUUGGUCGGCAGCUUCCCAAGGCGGCGGCAAGCGCUCGUACGCGCGGAGGCUGCGAAAGAGCAGCAGUAGCGAGGCGUAGCUUACGGCGACGAACGCCGUGGAGGCGAGGUCGCCCGCGGCGGCGGCUCUGUAUGCGGACACGGCGGACGUCAGGGUUAAAGCGAUCAGCCCCGUGCGGACGAGAACCGCCGUGCCAUCAGCGCCGCCUCUUUGUUCUCGUUCCAUAUCGAGCUAUGAUCGAAUCGAAUGCUCCCUGUUCUUACGGCAGGGGGAAAU
rnacentral:lncRNA from 1 species